rnacentral:rRNA from 1 species
AUGAACGCUGGCGGCGUGCCUAAUACAUGCAAGUCGAGCGCACGGACGAGAAGCUUGCUUUUCUGAUGUUAGCGGCGGACGGGUGAGUAACACGUGGAUAACCUACCUAUAAGACUGGGAUAACUUCGGGAAACCGGAGCUAAUACCGGAUAAUAUUUUGAACCGCAUGGUUCAAAAGUGAAAGACGGUCUUGCUGUCACUUAUAGAUGGAUCCGCGCUGCAUUAGCUAGUUGGUAAGGUAACGGCUUACCAAGGCAACGAUGCAUAGCCGACCUGAGAGGGUGAUCGGCCACACUGGAACUGAGACACGGUCCAGACUCCUACGGGAGGCAGCAGUAGGGAAUCUUCCGCAAUGGGCGAAAGCCUGACGGAGCAACGCCGCGUGAGUGAUGAAGGUCUUCGGAUCGUAAAACUCUGUUAUUAGGGAAGAACAUAUGUGUAAGUAACUGUGCACAUCUUGACGGUACCUAAUCAGAAAGCCACGGCUAACUACGUG